rnacentral:rRNA from 1 species
ACGGAGGAUGCGAGCGUUAUCCGGAUUUAUUGGGUUUAAAGGGUGCGUAGGUGGUAAUUUAAGUCAGCGGUGAAAGUUUGUGGCUCAACCAUAAAAUUGCCGUUGAAACUGGGUUACUUGAGUGUGUUUGAGGUAGGCGGAAUGCGUGGUGUAGCGGUGAAAUGCAUAGAUAUCACGCAGAACUCCAAUUGCGAAGGCAGCUUACUAAACCAUAACUGACACUGAAGCACGAAAGCGUGGGUAUCAAACAG